UGUUAUAUAAUUUUUAUUUAGGUAAUUUGUGCUGUUAUCUUAUUCUCACUACAAAGUUCACCCCAUAAACUCCAUUAUACCUCUUUUUGGUGAAAAUAAUCAUGCCUCUCUUUGUAUCAGAUUCUAUACCGAUAAAGUGAGCACAAUCAGAAAAGAGAGGAGUGUCACAAAUGUUUGGCGGUAUAAGCAUGCAGAUGAAGGAGAAGAUACAUCUGUCAAGAAAAAUUGAAGCUUAUUAUAGUCAGUAAAACAUUAAGGUUGCUGUCUCCAUUUUUUGCGGCAUAAAGAUCAUCAAACCAGGUGUUGUUGAGCAACGUUUGCAAAACAAAACGUUUCUUCUCAUUCGGAAUGGAGUUACUCACCAUGAUCACAUUUGCAGGAACAGUUCCAAAUCUGAUCAAAGAUAAGCAGAGGACUAUAACCAUAAUUGCAACAUCAACAACAAAAUUGUAGCAAUGAAUUAAACUUGACUAUUAAGUUGUUUUCUGUCCCUUCUAAAUCAAUGAAAGAGACCAGCAAAAGAUUUUACAAAUA